rnacentral:rRNA from 1 species
CGAAAGCCUGACGGAGCAAGACCGCGUGGGGGAAGAAGGCUCUUGGGUUGUAAACCCCUUUUCUCUGGGAAGAAAGUUGUGAAAGCAACCUGACGGUACCAGAGGAAUCAGCAUCGGCUAACUCCGUGCCAGCAGCCGCGGUAAGACGGAGGAUGCAAGCGUUACCCGGAAUGAUUGGGCGUAAAGCGUCCGCAGGUGGCAGUUCAAGUCUGCUGUCAAAGACCGGGGCUUAACUUCGGAAAGGCAGUGGAAACUGAACAGCUAGAGUAUGGUAGGGGCAGAGGGAAUUCCUGGUGUAGCGGUGAAAUGCGUAGAGAUCAGGAAGAACACCGGUGGCGAAAGCGCUCUGCUGGGCCGUAACUGACACUCAUGGACGAAAGCUAGGGGAGCG